AUGAUAAGCUUAACUUCCCCAGCAGACCUGCACAGAUUGACCUCAGUGUCAGGAAAUCUGCAAGUGGCAGUAGGAGAAAGGUAUUACAGUACGCAUAUAUAUGUAACAAAACACCUACUUCAUAUGGCGUGUCUGGAGGGGCCACGAGGAAUCAUCGUAGCCACUCGUGAGCACCUUGUUCAGUGGCACCCUGCAUGCAGAAACGCUCAGCCAUCAGUCGCUUUACUCGGUAACAGUAUAAUGACUAAAAUGAACUGCAUCGUAAUGCACAAACCUGCAGCUGCCAAUGAAGUCAUCAGUGUUGAUUGUGUUGCUGUUCCACACGUUGAUACUCAGCUCACGGAGCCCCUCGAUGAGUGGUAUAUGAAACUUCUCGUCGAAGGACGGGUUCCUUCCCCCAUCUGA
rnacentral:rRNA from 1 species